rnacentral:rRNA from 1 species
GAUGAACGCUGACAGAAUGCUUAACACAUGCAAGUCUUUGGCGAAGCUGUGCUUGCACAGCCUAGCCAAGGCGGACGGGUGAGUAACGCGUAAGGAACUUGCCCUGCAGUCAGGGAUAACAGACGGAAACGACUGAUAAGACCUGGUAAAGUCAGGCGGACUCAUGUCCAGCCUGAUGAAAAGAGAUGCUGCAGGAGAGCCUUGCGUCCUAUUAGCUUGUUGGUGGGGUAACGGCCCACCAAGGCAAUGAUAGGUAGCCGGCCUGAGAGGGUGGACGGCCACAAGGGGACUGAGAUACGGCCCUUACUCCUACGGGAGGCAGCAGUGGGGAAUAUUGGACAAUAGGGGCAACCCUGAUCCAGCAAUUCUGUGUGCACGAUGAAGGUUUUCGGAUUGUAAAGUGCUUUCAGCAGGGAAGAAAAAAAUGACGGUACCUGCAGAAGAAGCGACGGCUAAAUACGUGCCAGCAGCCGCGGUAAUACGUAUGUCGCAAGCGUUAUCCGGAAUUAUUGGGCAUAAAGGGCAUCUAGGCGGCCAGAUAAGUCUGGGGUGAAAACUUGCGGCUCAACCGCAAGCCUGCCCUGGAAACUAUGUGGCUAGAGUACUGGAGAGGUGGACGGAACUGCACGAGUAGAGGUGAAAUUCGUAGAUAUGUGCAGGAAUGCCGAUGAUGAAGAUAGUUCACUGGACGGUAACUGACGCUGAAGUGCGAAAGCUAGGGGAGCAAACAGG